GCGACGGGUGGUUUGAAUAGGCUGCUAAUUGCUGUUAGCUGCUUUUCCCCUAAUUGGAGCUUUAAAACAUUUCCUAGUCGGAUGGGUUUGGGGGCUUUUUUGUGGUUUUGUUUUGUUUUGGUGUUUUUUUUAAGUGCUGGAGGCUCAACCCGGACUUUAAGGCAACCUGUAUUUCUGAUAUUUUGGAGUCAAUGUGAUGUUUCAGUCGUUUUAGGGACCAGUUUUACACCUGAAAGGGUGAAAGUUGAGCUGGAGCAGGAGGCCGCACUCGGCUCUUCAUGACAUGCGGUAACUACCCGUAAGCAGGAGAUUGAAGAAUUGGUUAGAAGAAAAUGCACACCUCUACCUCUCCAGGAAAGGACGCGUACGGAGGUGUGAUGGCGAUCCAGGCCGUGUAACUACUGCAUUCUUUGGUGGCUUCAAAUCUCCUCCAUGUCUUCAACAUAACCAUCCAGCUAGAGGAUGUUUGAAGGAUUUCGGUUGCAUUCCGAGGGCAUGAUUCAUUUCCUCCUCUGAAACUCUGGCCACCGGCGGUGAGGGUGUGGAGCUCGCCAGUGCAGGCGGAGUUAUUGUCCAGGAAAGAGUUGGGCUGCGGGACUGACUGUCCAGUGGGUGUGCUGAACCGGUGUCAUUCACGGGUCCUUCGAUCCACAACUUCUUCUGAAUGUUUCGAACUACUCUUCUAUCUGUGCCGGUGGAUUCCUGGCCCUAGU